AUGGAUUCUAUUUAAAGUGCACU
rnacentral:piRNA from 1 species